rnacentral:tRNA from 1 species
GGGCGGGUGGCGGAAUAGGUAGACGCGCACGGUUCAGGUCCGUGUGUCCGAAAGGACAUGGGGGUUCAAAUCCCCCCUCGCCCACCG